UAAGAGGGUUGGGCAAUCGCGAGGCUUCGCUUCGAGGAAAGUCCGGGCACUGCAGAGCGGAAUGCCAGCUAACGGCUGGGCGGUGAGAGCCGACGGAAAGUGCAGCAGAGAGUAGACCGCCAAGUUUCUUGGUAAGGGUGAAAGGGUGCGGUAAGAGCGCACCGCGCAACGGGUAACCGUUUGUGGCACGGCAAACCCCAUUCAGUGCAAGACCAAAUAGGAAAACGCGCCCGGUUCGCCGGGCAAGGUGCGGCUCGUACUUGGUUUUCGGGUAGGUUGCUUGAGGGGCGCAGUGAUGCGCUUCCUAGAUGAAUGAUUGCCACCAGCAAUGGUACAGAACCCGGCUUAUAGACCCUCUUAUAUU
rnacentral:RNase_P_RNA from 1 species